CCCUUAGAUGUUCUGGGCCGCACGCGCGCUACACUGAUGCAUUCAACGAGCCUAUCCUUGACCGACAGGUCCGGGUAAUCUUUGAAUCUGCAUCGUGACGGGGAUAGAUUAUUGCAAUUAUUAAUCUUCAACGAGGAAUGCCUAGUAGGCGCAAUUCAUCAGCUUGCGUCGAUUACGUCCCUGCCCUUUGUACACACCGCCCGUCGCUCCUACCGAUUGGGUGUGCUGGUGAAAUGUUCGGAUCGGCCGUUUGUCGCGGUUUCCGCGUCAUGUGGCUGAGAAGUUCAUUAAACCCUCCCACCUAGAGGAAGGAGAAGUCGUAACA
rnacentral:rRNA from 1 species